rnacentral:rRNA from 1 species
AGACGAAUCAUCUGGAAAGAUGAAUCAAAGAAGGUAAUAAUCCUGUAGUCGAAAAUGUUGUCUCUCUUGAGUGGAUCCUGAGUACGACGGAGCACGUGAAAUUCCGUCGGAAUCUGGGAGGACCAUCUCCUAAGGCUAAAUACUCUCUAGUGACCGAUAGUGAACCAGUACCGUGAGGGAAAGGUGAAAAGCACCCCGGAAGGGGAGUGAAAUAGAACCUGAAACCGUGUGCUUACAAGUAGUCAGAGCCCGUUAAUGGGUGAUGGCGUGCCUUUUGUAGAAUGAACCGGCGAGUUACGAUUUGAUGCAAGGUUAAGCAGUAAAUGUGGAGCCGUAGCGAAAGCGAGUCUGAAUAGGGCGUUUAGUAUUUGGUCGUAGACCCGAAACCAGGUGAUCUACCCUUGGUCAGGUUGAAGUUCAGGUAACACUGAAUGGAGGACCGAACCGACUUACGUUGAAAAGUGAGCGGAUGAACUGAGGGUAGCGGAGAAAUUCCAAUCGAACCUGGAGAUAGCUGGUUCUCUCCGAAAUAGCUUUAGGGCUAGCCUCAAGUGAUGAUUAUUGGAGGUAGAGCACUGUUUGGACGAGGGGCCCCUCUCGGGUUACCGAAUUCAGACAAACUCCGAAUGCCAAUUAAUUUAACUUGGGAGUCAGAACAUGGGUGAUAAGGUCCGUGUUCGAAAGGGAAACAGCCCAGACCACCAGCUAAGGUCCCAAAAUAUAUGUUAAGUGGAAAAGGAUGUGGCGUUGCCCAGACAACUAGGAUGUUGGCUUAGAAGCAGCCAUCAUUUAAAGAGUGCGUAAUAGCUCACUAGUCGAGUGACACUGCGCCGAAAAUGUACCGGGGCUAAACAUAUUACCGAAGCUGUGGAUUGUCCUUUGGACAAUGGUAGGAGAGCGUUCUAAGGGCGUUGAAGCAUGAUCGUAAGGACAUGUGGAGCGCUUAGAAGUGAGAAUGCCGGUGUGAGUAGCGAAAGACGGGUGAGAAUCCCGUCCACCGAUUGACUAAGGUUUCCAGAGGAAGGCUCGUCCGCUCUGGGUUAGUCGGGUCCUAAGCUGAGGCCGACAGGCGUAGGCGAUGGAUAACAGGUUGAUAUUCCUGUACCACCUAUAAUCGUUUUAAUCGAUGGGGGGACGCAGUAGGAUAGGCGAAGCGUGCGAUUGGAUUGCACGUCUAAGCAGUAAGGCUGAGUAUUAGGCAAAUCCGGUACUCAUUAAGGCUGAGCUGUGAUGGGGAGAAGACAUUGUGUCUUCGAGUCGUUGAUUUCACACUGCCGAGAAAAGCCUCUAGAUAGAAAAUAGGUGCCCGUACCGCAAACCGACACAGGUAGUCAAGAUGAGAAUUCUAAGGUGAGCGAGCGAACUCUCGUUAAGGAACUCGGCAAAAUGACCCCGUAACUUCGGGAGAAGGGGUGCUCUUUAGGGUUAACGCCCAGAAGAGCCGCAGUGAAUAGGCCCAAGCGACUGUUUAUCAAAAACACAGGUCUCUGCUAAACCGUAAGGUGAUGUAUAGGGGCUGACGCCUGCCCGGUGCUGGAAGGUUAAGAGGAGUGGUUAGCUUCUGCGAAGCUACGAAUCGAAGCCCCAGUAAACGGCGGCCGUAACUAUAACGGUCCUAAGGUAGCGAAAUUCCUUGUCGGGUAAGUUCCGACCCGCACGAAAGGCGUAACGAUUUGGGCACUGUCUCAACGAGAGACUCGGUGAAAUCAUAGUACCUGUGAAGAUGCAGGUUACCCGCGACAGGACGGAAAGACCCCGUGGAGCUUUACUGUAGCCUGAUAUUGAAAUUCGGCACAGCUUGUACAGGAUAGGUAGGAGCCUUUGAAACGUGAGCGCUAGCUUACGUGGAGGCGCUGGUGGGAUACUACCCUAGCUGUGUUGGCUUUCUAACCCGCACCACUUAUCGUGGUGGGAGACAGUGUCAGGCGGGCAGUUUGACUGGGGCGGUCGCCUCCUAAAAGGUAACGGAGGCGCUCAAAGGUUCCCUCAGAAUGGUUGGAAAUCAUUCAUAGAGUGUAAAGGCAUAAGGGAGCUUGACUGCGAGACCUACAAGUCGAGCAGGGUCGAAAGACGGACUUAGUGAUCCGGUGGUUCCGCAUGGAAGGGCCAUCGCUCAACGGAUAAAAGCUACCCCGGGGAUAACAGGCUUAUCUCCCCCAAGAGUUCACAUCGACGGGGAGGUUUGGCACCUCGAUGUCGGCUCAUCGCAUCCUGGGGCUGUAGUCGGUCCCAAGGGUUGGGCUGUUCGCCCAUUAAAGCGGUACGCGAGCUGGGUUCAGAACGUCGUGAGACAGUUCGGUCCCUAUCCGUCGUGGGCGUAGGAAAUUUGAGAGGAGCUGUCCUUAGUACGAGAGGACCGGGAUGGACAUACCUCUGGUGUACCAGUUGUCGUGCCAACGGCAUAGCUGGGUAGCUAUGUGUGGACGGGAUAAGUGCUGAAAGCAUCUAAGCAUGAAGCCCCCCUCAAGAUGAGAUUUCCCAACUUCGGUUAUAAGAUCCCUCAAAGAUGAUGAGGUUAAUAGGUUCGAGGUGGAAGCAUGGUGACAUGUGGAGCUGACGAAUACUAAUCGAUCGAAGACUUAAUCAAAUU